GCAAACAUUACGGCAAAUACUGGGCCACACGCACCCCUUAGGCUGUGAUGCCAGUGGAACUAGUGUCUGUCCUGAAACAGCUCAGCUCCUAGAUUUCCUGCUUCCUGUACCUCCCUUUCCACCCGCAGUCGUGUGGGGACAGAGGCCCGUGCACUUCUGCUGCUUCCUCCCCACCAGAGCAGUCUCCUUGCUGGGAUACUGAGUGCUCCGGAGAUGCCCGAAAAGGAUGAGCUAGCCCUGCAGGUGAUAAAUGAGCAGCAAGGGAAGGUGACUCGCUCACACAUCCUGCUCUGGUGUAUACGUGUCUGGUGACUGAACUGCAGGGUACCCCGGGAGAGCUCUGUCUGCGCUGGCGUUUGGGAAUGGGAGUCCGGAUCUGUGCACUGAUGAGACCUGCCGAGUAUCCUGGGCUUGAGAGGGAGCCGCGCGUGAGCUCGGGAGGGCUAGAGGCAGGGUUCUGCCUUGUGUGCUUUCAUUUCUGAUGUCUUCUGCUCUGGCUUUCCACCAUGUCACACCAACCACUCUGCUCGUAUGGCUCAAAGGCCAAGCUGGGGCAGCUGGGGCCAGCCCCCAUCCACGGGGGAAGAAAAUUAGCAAUAAUGAACUUCAAGGCACUGGUAACUGGAAAACCCAGACUGCACAAGAGACUCGUAUGCAAUCAGGUUCCGAAGACCAUCAGUCUCCUGGCCAGCCCUCUUCUCAUCCAGCACCCACAGACUGAUUUACAACACAUCCUGGCCCUCGGUACCACGCACGACUUUCAGCCUGGCUGGCCGUGUGGUUUGCCUGUGGCCCAGGAAAGCAGGGGAAUCGCUCCAUUUUCUGAACUGUUGUGUUGACGACAUUGAGCCGCUGGGAUCCAGCCUGCUGGGCGACUAUUGCAUAUUCCAUCACCGAGGCAUUUAGACCUAACUCCUUUUGAGACACACGUUAUGUAACGGUGGGAGCACAGACGGUUCUCUGCUCCACAGCUCUUCACUCGUGCCGUUCUUUGUUUGGGUGACCAGACAGCUAAUGUGAAAAAUCAGGGCAGGGGCAGGGGGUAAUAGGAGCCUAUAUAAGAAAACCCCCAAAAUCGGGACUGUCCCAAUAAAACCGGGACAUAUGGUCA
rnacentral:lncRNA from 1 species